UACAGAGGGUGCGAGCGUUAAUCGGAAUUACUGGGCGUAAAGCGCACGUAGGCGGCGACGUAAGUCGGGUGUGAAAGCCCCGGGCUCAACCUGGGAAUUGCAUUCGAGACUGCAUUGCUGGAGUACGGAAGAGGAGGGCGGAAUUCCCGGUGUAGCGGUGAAAUGCGUAGAUAUCGGGAGGAACAUCAGUGGCGAAGGCGGCCCUCUGGUCCAGUACUGACACUCAAGUGCGAAAGCGUGGGGAGCAAACAGG
rnacentral:rRNA from 1 species